AUUGAACGCUGGCGGCAUGCCUUACACAUGCAAGUCGAACGGCAGCACGGGGCAACCUGGUGGCGAGUGGCGAACGGGUGAGUAAUGCAUCGGAACGUGCCAUUGAGUGGGGGAUAACGUAGCGAAAGUUGCGCUAAUACCGCAUAUUCUGUGAGCAGGAAAGCAGGGGACCGCAAGGCCUUGCGCUCUUUGAGCGGCCGAUGUCAGAUUAGCUAGUUGGUGAGGUAACGGCUUACCAAGGCGACGAUCUGUAGCGGGUCUGAGAGGAUGAUCCGCCACACUGGAACUGAGACACGGUCCAGACUCCUACGGGAGGCAGCAGUGGGGAAUUUUGGACAAUGGGCGCAAGCCUGAUCCAGCAAUGCCGCGUGCAGGAAGAAGGCCUUCGGGUUGUAAACUGCUUUUGUACGGAACGAAACGGUCUGGGUUAAUACCCUGGGCUAAUGACGGUACCUAUAGAAGAAGCCAUGGCCAACUCUGUG
rnacentral:rRNA from 1 species